rnacentral:lncRNA from 1 species
UAUUAAGAGUCAAUUGUUGAACCCAUAAAAACAUUAUAACUGGGAAUAUAUUUUUUAUCCAAAACUUAAAAAGAAGCAAUUAAUGCAAAUGAUCAAAUUUAGAGUUGCCCAAAAUGUUGCAACUCAGAAGCACAAACGGCAAACCUCCCGUCGGCGUCGAAUAUCUCUUCGUUUUGCCCAAUCGCCAUAUCCAGCAGUAGUAAUAUGAACUUUCUGAUCAAUGUAAGUUCAAUUUCACUUGCAUUAUACAUCUUCGUUUUCGGAUUCUGUCCAUAUAUGCGUGUGUUCAACUGUUUAUACGUUCUAGACCUCAAUGAAUUUGUGAUUCUUAUGAGUUAUGUUGAUGAAUUUUAUUUGAAAUGAGAUAAUAAGUAUUAGUUGAGCGACCACACCAGAAAUCGAACUCGCUAAACUAGAAUCGACUAUUCAAAGUUUCAGUCGCGGAUUGCCCUAUGAUAUUAGAGACGCUUUGCUAUUAUUGAUAAUCUGAUGCUAGUUGGUUAGUGUUAUACAUGCAUACUAUCUGUUUGAUGAAAGUUCGGGUGAUAAUGCCAGCUCUAAGAAUCAAUAUGCUUUGUUAACAACUGAAUCCUCUGCAGUACUAUAGUUACUAUCAUGGAACUUAUGUUGUAUGGUGUUCCUUAUGCUUUGCUAUAUCUUGCUUCAAAAAAUGAUUUGCACCUCUUCUUACCUGCACGAUUCCUUUUUGUUUUUCGUAAUUGUUAUUAUAAGGUUUUGUUGCUAAAUGAUAGAAUAAGAAAAUUGGAUCUGAAAAAUGCAUAGUUAUUCAUGUGGAAUUAUGAUGGCGUACAUUAUUAGAAUCUCAUAUUUCAGAAAGAAGUUUAACCAUGUGUGGUCGUGGAGAACAUUUUGCUAAUAGCGGCUGAACCUUUGGUGAAAUUGUGAAUCCAGUGCCUUCGCUCAUAUCAAUGAUCUCACUAUUGGGCUUAUCCCACUCAAAACAUUGAAGAAGUGAGCCUAGUGCCAAUCCAAUGACAUGAAUUGCUAGGUUCUCACCAGGGCAACCCCUCCUUCCUGAUCCAAACGGAAUAAACUUGCAGCCCUCUUUGACACUGUCAAAGCCUAUAAAUCUAUCAGGAUUGAACUUUUCUGGAUCCUCCAAUACCUUAGAGUCAUGAUGUAUCCCCCAUGCAUUCACUAAUAGGAUUGUUCCACGCGGAACUCGAUAUCCUGCAACUUUGCACUCUUCUGAUGAAAGGUGAGGCACAAGUAAAGGGGCUGCUGGAUGCAUCCGCAAUGUCUCAUCGAUGAUGCAUCUGAUGUAAGGAAGUUGAGCCAAAUUGGAUUCAUCCGGUCUUGUCCAACCUGAUUGUCAAUUUCAGUCUGUGCCGUCUUUAAAAUUUCUCGAUUGUCAAGCAAGCGUGAAAAAGCCCAUUCUAGUGUUACUGCUGAAAUAUCUGAUCCAGCUUGGAGUAGGAUCUGCAUGCAUAAGAAAACAGAAUGUAUAAACUAGUUAACAACAUUUAAAGGAACAGUAGAUAUAGACAGAAGCAAAGACACUCUGUAGGGUCAAUGGUUUUGGUAGUUCAAAUAUAGCUUUCAUUUCAAGAUCUAUAUCCAGGGUAGGGUAAGGCAUAUGUAAGUAGAAUUAUAAUAGUCAAUAUCACCUGCCUAUACUAUGUACUCCGUCUGUUGUGAACCAAACUGACCCCAUAAGGGCCUACGGGCUAUUAGAGAGUUUUAUUUGGGAUCCAGACCCAUUUACACUUUGUUAAAAAGGACUAGGAAUUAGAAGAACGGUUAUGGAAAAUUAUUAUGUCAAGCUCUGGCUUUCUAUCCUCUCAUUUCCUUUCUAUGGUCUUGUAUCUCAUCCCUUUCUGGUUACUUCUUUCUCGGUUAAUCUCUCCUUAGUUAGUGUAUUAUUAUUUUGUUGUGCCUAUCCUACAUUGUAACUUGUAUUCAGUGAUUAAUAUAUAUAACUGUGUUUCUGUUGGAAUCGAGUUUGUUUCACCGUCCCGUUCAAUUUAUUUGUACUAGUUUGACUUGACAGAAAGUGAAAGAAAGUAAAGAAGACUUUUGAAUCUUGUGUCUAAACAUGUCAUGUGGUAUGUUGAAAUUUAAGAGCUGUCAAAUUAGGAAAAAGACACUCUUUUUUAAACAAAAAAGAGAAGUAAUACAAACAAAUUGAAACAAAAGGGAGUAUAAAUCAAUCUUGGUACGGAAGCAUUUAGACUCAUCUAAUCAUGUCUUUUUAUCAAGAAACCCCAGCAGAAUACCAAUUUGUAUCAAGUUCCAUCUGAAGCUUAACAUAGUAUUAACUCAAGAUAACACAAGCAAAGAAAACAAUGAAGAUAAUCUUCAUGUACAAAAAGAAAAAAUAUAGAUGUCUGAUAGUCUUACCAGCAGUAGGUUUCUAAUUGUUUCAUCUGUGUAGUAUUCGGGGUCUGUUUUCUGUAAAUCUAACAAGACUUCCAUGAUAGUUUUCUUCUUCCCUGCCACAACCUCUGCUGAAGGAAAAGAACCACUGGUCUUUAAUCGACGAUGCUCGUCUAUUUCCUUUCGCAUAAAGUUAUCUCUCUUCUUCUGUAGUUCCAUCAUCUUUUCCUCAACACUAUGCAAUCCAAACCACCUCAUAAAUGGCAAGAAAUCCAAAAUAUUAGCCUUUGGAGUAGUGUUUAUUGUUUCCUUUGAUAUAUCCUGGAAUAGCAUAGCUUCUUUUGAGUUCUCUCCAUAGUAUCUUUUCCCUGCAAUCAUUCUCGAUAUCACGUUGAACGUGAAGUUAAAAAGAGAUGAUUUCAUCUCCACAAUUUUUUCCAAAUUCUCUAUGGAGACUCUAAAGAGUCUACGAAUCAGGUAGUUUAUUUUAUCAGAACGGAUGCUUGAUAGUGUCUGAAUUCUAUAGGAAGAUAAAACUUCAAGAGUGGAAAUUCUUCGAAGAUUUCUCCAGUGCUCUCCAUAAGAAGACCAAGCGAGGCUAGUAAAAUUGUACCCGAAAUACUUACCACUGAGAAAAUCAGGACGAUUGGCAAAGAUGAUAUCAUUUUUAGUAAAACAGUCUUCUGCUACUAAAGGUGAUGAAACAAGGAGGACAGGCCGAGAGCCAAAUUGAAGAAACACUACUGAACCAUAACGAUUCGAGACUUUGAAUAAAGCCCUAUGGAAAGGUUUACUCAAUAAGUAGAGAUGGCCAAUAAAAGGGAGUGUUGGAAAUGGGCUAGGUGGAAGGUUUUGUAACUUGUUAAGAAAAUGGCGGCUGAUGAUAUAAUGAACAAGGAACAGAACUGGGAAAUACAGAUAAAGAUUGUCCAUGGAUGACCAGAAUUGUAGUAUUAUUUCUGAUAAUUAUCUAGUUUUAUUAGCUUGUAUUAAGAUCUUUGCAGCUUAGACAACAAUAAAUGAGUGUCAUCAAAUCUUGGUUUUGUAAUCUAAAUUGAUCAAUCUUUGUAGGCUAGGUAUUUGUUGAAUCCCUAAUAAUGUAGGUUAGUUGUAGAAAUUUAUUAUUUAUAGAAAAUUUAUCCUUGUAAACAAACAGGAAGGAAUUAAAUACUAACAAGUAAAUAUCCAAUAAACAGGACCUUAUAAUUUAUUUAGGCAAUUGAUGAUUGAUGACAAAUGACAAGAUGCAAUUUUUCUGGAUGUACUCUAAUUAGGUUCAUUUGUCCAGUAUCAAAUAUGCAUUGAUAUAUUCAGCGUAUAUGUAUUCAAUAUCAAUAUCAUCAGUGUAUCCAAUAUCAAUUUUAUCCGGUGUAUCCUUUAUCAGUUUCAUCCAAUUUCAUGUAUCAAGUAUCAAAUAUACAUUGAUGUAUCCGUGCUUAGAUAUGCGUAUCUGGUAUCAAAUAUGCACUUAUACAUUCAUCAAAUAAACCAAUAUCAAAUAUGCACUGAUGUAUUAAGUGUAUCUAUACACAGAUACAUAUCAAUCAUUAUUUCUAGACAUGUAAAUAUUGUCCCCAAGUAAAAUUAAACCAAAAUCAGAACUGAAUAGUUUAUGAAAGUGAUACCCUGUGGUUAAAUAGUUAUAGUAGCAUGUUUGCUUAGUUAGGUAAUUUUUUCCAUUAUUGAUACCCAUAAAACAAUAGAUCCAAAAUGUUGCAACAUCAUCUUAAAACUCUAAUUUUCAAACAACAAUAGCUAAACGGAAGAGAUAUGGAAAAUUGAAUAGGUCGACAAUGAAUCGGAACUCAGAAGCACAAUUUUCUUCCUUUUGCUCAAUCGCCAAAUCCAACAAUAGGAGUAUGAACAAGGCCUUCACAUUCUGAUCAAAGUAAGUUCAAUUUCACUUGCAUUAUACAUCUUCAUUUUCAGAUUCUCUCCAUAUAUGUGUGUUCGAGUGCUUAUACCUUCUUGACCUCAAUGAAUUUAUGAGUCUUAUGAGUUAUGUUGGUGAAGUUCAAUGAAUUUUAUUUGAAAUUCUUGCGGAAACGCCUGGGGUUUACCUUUGCUCAGCUUAAUUUUGGUUUUCGUUAAUUUCACCCUAAGAUAUUGAUUAUACUUUGUAAUUUCUCUGCAUAUUUCUAAGGGGAUGGUAUAGUACUGAAGAAGCUAUAACUCUAAUUAUUAUGUCAUGACUCUAAUUUCUAAGGGGGCAGUAUAGUGCUGAAGAAGUUAUAACUCUAAUUUUGUUAAAUUGUUCGAAUUGUGUAAUCAUCAGUUAUUGACAUUGGGAAGCGACCCAAAGUGAUAUUCAAUUCGUGACUUCAAAUUUGAAUUGCUUUCCUGUUAACCGUGUAAAAGAAGCUUUUGGUAAUUGUGCUCCAAGAUGCACUAUAAAUUGCUAUUUUCCAUUUGGUUACUAUUGUAUUUAGAGAGUUGAUUUCCCACAUAAUCACUCAACUAAUUAUUAUUAUCUCAUAAAGUCACAUCUCUUCUUGAUUAUUCCAAUGUUUUUCAAUAAAGAAAAUGACUUUCUGAGAUAAUAAAAUUUAGUUAUGUGGCCAUAUUAGUUCGAACUCUCUACACUAAUGACUAUUCAACUUUACAGUCACGGAUUGCCUUCUAAUAAUGGGCCUUUGAUAUUAGAGAAGCUUUGCUAUUAUUGAUAAUCUGAUACUAGUUGUGAGUGUUAAACAUGCAUACUAUCUGUUUGAUGGAAGCUAAGGUGAUAAUGCCAGCUCCAAGAAUCAAUAUGCUCUAUUAACAACUGAAUCCUCUGCAGUACUAUAGUUACCAUUAUGGAACUUAUGCUAUGAGGUAUUCCUUAUGCUUUGUUAUAUUCUUGCUUCAAAAAAUGAUUUGCUCUUCUUCCCUCACAAUUCCUCUUUGUUUUUUGUACUCAAUAUUAUAAGGUUUCAUCGCUGAAUGAUAGAAUAAGAAAAUUGGAUCUUAAAAUUGCUUAGUUAUUCAUGUGGAAGUAAUGGCGUACAUUAUUAGAAUCUUGGUUAGGAUUAGAUUUCAGAAAGAAGUUUAACCAUGUGUAGUCGUGGAGAACAUUUUGCUAAUAGCGGCUGAACCUUUGGUGAAAGUGUGAAUCCAGUGCCUUCACUCAUAUCGAUGAUCUCCCUAUUGGGCUUAUCCCACUCAAAGCAUUGAAGAAGUGAGCCUAGUGCCAAUCCAAUGACAUGAAUUGCUAGGUUCUCACCAGGGCAACCCCUCCUUCCUGAUCCAAAUGGAAUAAACUUGCAGCCCUCUUUGACACCUUCAAAGCCUAAAAAUCUACCAGGAUUGAACUUUUGUGGCUCCUCCCAUACCUUAGGGUCAUGAUGUAUCCCCCAUGCAUUCACUAAUAGGACUGUUCCACGCGGAACUCGAUAGCCUGCAACCUUGCACUCUUCUGAUGAAAGGUGAGGCACAAGUAAAGGGGCUGCUGGAUGCAUCCGCAAUGUCUCAUUGAUGAUGCAUCGGAUGUAUGGAAGUUGAGCCAAAUCGGAUUCAUCAAUUAGGCGAUCUUGUCCAACCUGAUUGUCAAUUUCUGUCUGCGCUGUCUUUAAGAUUUCUGGAUUGUCAAGCAAGUGUGAAAAAGCCCAUUCUAGUGUUACAGCUGAAGUAUCUGAUCCAGCUUGGAGUAGGACCUGCAUACAUAAGAAAACAGAGUGUAUAAACUAGUCAACAACAAUUGAAGGAACAGUAGAUAUAGACAGAAGCAAAGACAAUAGGGUCAAUGAUUUUGAAAGUUCCAAGGUAGCUUUCAUUUCAAGAUCUAGAUCCAGGGUAGGGUAGGGAAUAUAUAAGUAGAAUUAAAAAAGUCAAUGUCACCUGCCUAUACUAUGUACUCCCUCCAUUUUAAUUUGUUUGUCUUAGUUUGACUUGACACAGAGUUAAAGAAAGAAAAAAAAACUUUUGAAUCUUGUAGUCUUAAAUGUGGUAUGUUGGAAUUAAACUGUUGUCAAACAGGAAAUAAUGGUAUGUUGGAAUUAAACUGUUGUCAAAUCAGGAAAUAAACAUUCUUUUUCGAAACAAACUAAAAAGAAAAGUAUUACAAACAAAUUGAAACAAAAGGGAGUAUAUAUCAAUCUUAGUACAGAACAUUUAGAUUCAUCUAAGCAUGUCUUUUUAUUAAGAAACACUAACAAUAUACCAAUUUGUGUCCAGUUCAAUCUGAAGCCUAACAUAGUAUAAACUCAAGAUAACACAAGCAAAGAAAACAAUAAAAAUAAUCUUCAGAGUGUAUCUUCAUGUACAAAAAUAAAAACAAAAACAUAUAGAUCAUGUCUGAUAGUCUUACCAACAUUAGGCUUCUAAUUGUUUCAUCUGUGUAGUACUCGGGGUCUGUUUUCUGUAAAUCUAACAAGACUUCCAUGAUAGUUUUCUUCUUCCCUGCCACAACCUCUGCUGAAGGAAAAGAACCAUUGGUCUUUAAUCGACGAUGCUCGUCUAUUUCCUUUUGCAUAAAGUUAUCUCUCUUCUUCUGUAGUUCCAUCAUCUUCUCCUCAACAUCAUGCAAACCAAACCACCUCAUAAAUGGCAAGAAAUCCAAAAUAUUAGCCUUUGGAAUUGUUAUUAUUGUAGCCUUUGAUAUAUCCUGGAAUAGCUUAGCUUCUUUCGAGUUCUCUACUUUCUCUCCAUAGUACCUUUUCCCUGCAAUCAUUCUCGAUAGCACAUUGAACGUGAAGUUAAAAAGAGAUGAUUUCAUCUCCACAAUUUUUUCCGAACUCUCUAUGGAGACUCUAAAGAGUCUACGAAUCAGGUAGUUUAUUUCAUCAGAACGGAUGCUAGAUAGUGUCUGGAUUCUAUAGGAAGAUAAAACUUCAAGAGAGGAAAUUCUUCGAAGAUUUCUCCAGUGCUCUCCAUAGGAAGACCAAGCAAGGCUAGUAAAAUUGUACCCGAAAUGCUUACCACUAAGAAAAUCAGGACGAUUGGCAAAGAUGAUAUCAUUUUUAGUAAAACAUUCUUCCGCUGCUGAAGGUGAUGAAACAAGGAGGACAGGACGAGAGCCAAAUUGAAGAAACACUACUGAACCAUAACGAUUCGAGACUUUGAAUAAAGCUCUAUGGAAAGGUUUACCCAAUAAGUAGAGAUGGCCAAUAAAAGGGAGUACUGGAAAUGGGCUAGGGGGAAGAUUUUGUAGCUUGUGAAGAAAAUGAUAGCUGAUGAUGUAAAGAACAAAGAAGAGAACUGGGAAAUACAAAUAAAGACUGUCCAUGGUUGAUCAGAAUUAGGAUUAUGUCUGAUAAUUAUCUAGUUUUAUUAGCUUGUAUUAAGAUCUUAACAGCUUAGACAAGAAUAAAUAAGUAUAAUUAGAUCUUGGUUUUAUACUCUAAAUUAAACAAGAAGUAUCUUGCAGGCUAUAGGUAUUUGUUUAAUCCCUAAUAAUGUAGGUUAGUUGUAGAAAUUUAUUAUUUAUAGAAAAGUUAUCCUUGUAAACAAACAAGAAGGAAUUAAAUACUAACAAAUUAAACAUCCUAUAAAGAGGACCUUUGAAUUUAUUUAGGCAAUUGAUGAUUGAUGACGAAUGGCAAGACGCAAUUUUUCUGGAUUUACUCUAAUUUAUUUUCUUGGAGCAAUGGCCUUUAAUUGAAUUUAAUAUUUUCUUUCUUAACGUUAGUUUACACACAGCCUGUGCUGAAGUGUACGAAUAUCCGAUUUUGGGACCACUAUUUAAGUCAUAGGAGACUUUUUUUUGCAAGUUUAUCCAUUUCGAGAACAAUUUUAGACAUACUCGUAGUUGAAUGUUUGUUGGUAUGACUAAACUUCAUUCACAUAUGACCGAAGUGUGCAAGUAUAUUUGCACAUAUUUCAGACACAUAUAGUAUAUGUUUGACCUAACAGUCUUAAAACACUUCAGACAAUUAUUUAGUUGGCAUAGUCCAUGUUUGAAGUUGGUUUGAAUGAAAUAUAUUGCAAUUUUUGUUUGAUGUUUGGUUUAACGGUCUCAAACUACAUAUAUCUUGAUGAAAUUAUUGACUUCGCGAUUGUUACCUUCCUUCCAUCAAUACAUAAAUCACCUAAAUUUUUUUGGAUUGGAAUUUAAUCCUUGAUUUUUCAUAGUUAGCAUCUGGUUUAUUGACUGGUAGGCUAUGGUUAAUCUACUUGCUUAUGCAUCUUGAUUUCAACGUUGUAAUAGUAUAUUUUAUAUAUAUAUAUAUAUUUGCCACAGCUUACGUUUUCUUCUUUAAACGUUGAUUGUUUGUUUGUGUACUGUUACUGGUUGAUAUAUAGGAACCUAAUCUAUUUAAUAUGGUACUGCAGAAAUCUAGUAUAGUUGAAAAACAAACGCACUUGUCCUUUUCCUGUAUUUAUUGUAUUUUAUUUCUAUUUUGUUCCAUUUUUUCUACUCAAUUUAUUUGAAGGAAGCAUGCAUCUUACGUGAUUGAAGAAAAAGAAAAGUCCUUAAUAGAUUUAGCUUUUAGUUAACAUGGUAGGGACCCCUAACAUCACUAGUAAUAAAUGUCAACUUGUCAAUAUUCAUACAUAACAGUGAAAAAGUUAAAGUCAAACUUGUUUCUUCCCCCCACCCCACCCCUACCACCACCCCCUGCUCAUUUUUCAUUAUGGGAAAGUUAGGGACCUGAAUUAUUUAGUCAUCUAAUUUAUAAAAUAUAUAUAAAAAAUGUAUAUAUUGUGUAUAUUUUACAUCAAACAUACAUGUAGUAUACUUAUAACGUACAUAUCCAUAUAAUGUGUAUGUAGUGUAUAUUUUUAUCAUAUUGAUAAAUUAGUUGGUAUAGCGAUAUAUUUGGUAAGAAAGUGCUUUUUUUAUUAAGGUUAAAAUAAUCCUCACAUUAAAUCUCAAUCAUACGAUCAUGUCAAAUAAAAGUGAGGCAAAAAAAGUUACCAAGUUAAAUUAAUACCAGGAGAAAGUAUAAGGAGCUAAUAAGUUUUAUGCAAAAAAUGAUCUCUCUCUUCAUAUGUUAUUAUAAGUUUAUAUAUCUUAUGUUUAAUUAAUUCAACAACCUCCCCAACUAUUGAGUAGACUUCUUUUGUGAAUAGUUGAUAAUUACUAACUUGCCAGCACUGAUUGCAAGUAUUAUUUACAAGAAAAAUGAAUUAUAAAUCUACCGCAUACCUUCAUAAAGUAGGGAUAAGGAUUAACGUUUGCGUAUAUUUUUAUCAGAUUGCACUCGUAAGAUUGUACUAAUAUGGUCAUGUGGUCAUGAUUGGCUUAACUUCUUCUGUAUGGGUUUAUGUGAUCUUGACAUGAUUGUUAGAAUUGUUAUUUUGUAUUAGGCUGUUUUAUAAUUAUUGAGUGGGGAAUCUUAGUUGGUUGGCUAGGAUUUAUAAGAAUGAUGUUAAAUUUAUUUUGUAUUUGAUUGAAUAAAUUAGUCUUGAGAUUAUAAUUUUAAAACUAUAAUCAAUUAGUUCACAAACCAAACGACCCCGUCUUUUCAUACAUGGGAU